GGGGACAACCCGCCGAAAGGCGGGCUAAACCCGCGUACAUGCCACCGGGGCAUCCCGGAGGCAGGAAAGGCUUCGGCCGGACAGGGAUGGGCAUGCGGCGCAUUAGGCAGUAGGCGGGGUAACGGCCCACCUAACCGACGAUGCGUAGGGGUUCUGAGAGGAAGGUCCCCCACACUGGUACUGAGACACGGACCAGACUCCUGCGGGAGGCAGCAGUGAGGAAUAUUGGUCAAUGGUCGGGAGACUGAACCAGCCAAGCCGCGUGAGGGAUGAAGGUACAGAGUAUCGUAAACCUCUUUUGUCAGGGAACAAAGGCGGGGACGUGUCCCCGGAUGAGUGUACCUGAAGAAAAAGCAUCGGCUAACUCCGUGCCAGCAGCCGCGGUAAUACGGAGGAUGCGAGCGUUAUCCGGAUUUAUUGGGUUUAAAGGGUGCGCAGGCGGUCUGUUAAGUCAGCGGUCAAAGCCCGGGGCUCAACCCCGGCCCGCCGUUGAAACUGGCAGUCUCGAGUUGGAGAGAAGUAUGCGGAAUGCGCGGUGUAGCGGUGAAAUGCAUAGAUAUCGCGCAGAACUCCGAUUGCGAAGGCAGCAUGCCGGCUCCACACUGACGCUGAGGCACGAAAGCGUGGGUAUCGAACAGGAUUAGAUACCCUGGUAGUCCACGCAG
rnacentral:rRNA from 1 species